GAGAUACGACAUAAAACUAGGGCUGUUAGGAUAUUUUCUCUCUCGGCAAAAAAUAGGGUUUCAACAAAGUAUUGAUUUUGCAGCUUCAGCUUUAAACUUUCCACAGUCCAGAUUAAAACUCCCCAAUGGUCGGAAGAAGUCGGCGAGGAUCCCAAACCAGGUUCUGUCAAAGGUCACUCCAUGGAUAGAAGCUUCUAAAGGUUGUUGACAACCACAAUUCAAUUCUGCUCUCAUUGAGUUGUAUCCAGUUCUCGAAGUUACCAGUGAUAUAGGUACUCAAUAUAAAUUAUAUAAUGAUUGGUUAUAACCUAUAGCUUCCGUACAAAAGAAGUAGUUGGAAAGACCAACACUGUACCAAAAAUACAUGGGGGAAUUUCUGUGCUUUUGUUGGCCUUUUUGGCGUCUCGGGCUCCCUGUUUGGAGUCUCCUCAACCAUCAAACCGUAUCUUCUGUCUUCAUGACACUACUACCAGGUGGUUGGACUUCUAUAUCUCAUGCUAUGAGCCUAUGAGGACUUAAUUGUUUAGUUUAGAACAGGGUUUAAAAAGUGCUGAGGCCUUCACUAAAUGCAUGAGGCGACCUGUGUUGGGGGAUUCACAGCUUAACAAGUUGUUUUGGAAGCCUCAAGCCUCAUCACGUGUCACUGGUUAUGCGACUAAAGUGACAGAUGCAAAGUUAAAACAGAUGCACUGAUGCUGAACAAAGGUCAGAAGAAACUGAUUAGAGAGUUGGAGACACUAGUUAAUUCAACGAAGCUGCUGGUAUCUAAAGCAACUCCCCACAUGACUCCAGCACCACCCAGUGCCACAAGAACUCUACUAGGAGACACCAAGAUCGGUAGCAACUUGCUAAGAAACCGUUGAACUCUCCCUAUCAUUUGACAAUACAUCUAUUGAGUUUGCUUACUCAUGCUGAUAAAUAUUUUGAGACCUAAUGACACAUGUAUACCAAAAACUUUCCCUCACUUUGUCUAUAUGAAUGAUCCAGCCUUCCAUUGGGUGUGAUAGAGAGAGCAACAAUAACCAGCUAUAACUCGGGACAAGUUCAAAGCAAAAUUGAUGGAAUGACUCUUGUGCUAAUCUAAUUUUAGACCACUUUCUAAGAAAGGGAUAAUUUCUCUGAGAGAGACUAUGCUCUCUCAAAAAAAGAGAGAGAUUCUCUUCCUGACAGAAAGAGAUGCUCUCACUCUAACCAAAGAGAAUUAUCUCCAAAAGAACGAACUCUCUACAAAAGAACAUAUUAUCUCUUGGAAGAAAAGACUCACUAUUAAAAGAGUCUCUCUAAAAGGAGUGUCUUUCUCUAAAAAAGAAAAAAAGAGAGCCAAUUCUUUUUUCUCAGAAGAAAAAAAUCGACUCUAUAUGAAGAAAAGAGAGUCGACUCUCUCUAAGAAAAGAGAGCAUGUCUCAAGCGAAAGAACUAAUUCUCUAAGGAACGAGCAAAUUAUUUCUUGGAAAGAAAACUCUCCCAUUGAGGAAGCAGUCUAUGGCAAGUAAAGUCUGGGAGAGAUAUAGAGCAGAAUUUUCUGGGUACAAAGACCUUUAGAUCCAAGAGGUAGUAGAGUCUGGGAGUGCAGUCUCUCUAGAAAAGCUAAUUCUUUUUUUAGUACAAAGAUCUAUAGAGGGAGGGUACAAGCUGCUCAUAACCUGAGUCCAUAAACAUGUUGACAUCAAUUGAGAUUCAGAAUUUGACAGUAGCAUGAGCUCAUAGGUGUCAUGUUCAAAUGAUGUGAGGACUUCAAACCCACAACAUAUGUUUACUUAUUCGUAAAUGUUUUUUAGAAGUUGUAGCUAGAUGUAGAUCAACAAAAGGGGAACAAGGUGCAUGCAUGAUCAAAGGGAUUUAAAUGUAUGUUCUUUUGAGGUCUCUGAACAACAAACUCCAAUGUCACCAAUCAGUUUUGCCUUAAAUUAGUAAUGUAAAUGUAUUUUGAAAGAUAUCAUGAUUCUAGUAUUGGCUCUAGAUGGAAACUUAAAGAUUUCAUAAGUCGCAAAGCAAAAACUUUUUUUCAUAGGCUCAUCCUCCUCAACCAUUCACCUCGAGGAUAUAGUUGGGUUUUAAGAAGUAGGGUGCAUAUGAAUGCACAAAGACUUCAAAUAUUUCUUUUAA